AGAAGAGACAAACAAGAAGAGAGAAGGGCGAAAAUGAAGAAGGGUCUCCUUCUUAGGGUUCUUGAUGUGGCUUUGCGGAAGCCCAAGUGAACCCAAUCCCAGAUUUUCUUUUCAUUGAUUUUCUUUUGUCCCUCUUCUCUUCUCGGUCUUUUUUUU
rnacentral:ribozyme from 13 species